GGACCGAACGCCCUCCCGCUCCCCUCCCGCGGGCGCCGCUCCGCGCCUUAAAGGAGCCGCGCCCGGCGCGGCGGGGAGCAGCAUUUUUGGGUCCCUUUCACCGAGCCUGGCCAAUCGAAUCUUUAUUCGCUCAAAGGAGAGCAGGCCCAACGAGAGAGCUCCGGUGCCGCAGAGGGCUGGGAGGGCUCGGCGGCGUCACUCACCCGCUGUCUCAACCUGAUGGAAGUGUUUGCUCCUGCUGGGCUGCAGCAGAUCCUGGAAGACCUGGGGGAGAAGGCUGUCUAAAGGGACAAUUCCAUAAGUGUCCUGCUGCUGGGGCCACGUGAGGUAGAAGUUGGAAAGUCAUCACCACAUUUUAUUUAAAGAGUGAAACUUUUUCCCCUCGGAUGCACUUAUUUAAAAUCAAGGCAUCAUUCAGAAGCUGAAGGAAAUGCAACUAAAAGACUUCAGAUUCAGCAAAGGUGUUUGCCCACACAGUGAAAGGGAAACACAGCAUUAAAGUGACUAGUAUUAAACAUCCCAGAGGGCAGAAUCUUUUCCUCUUCCUUUCACUUCAAUCUUUUACUUUAAGCACAGAUUUUGUAACUGAAUUACAUGGAUAGUUCAAGACCUGCUCUAUCAACUCUUACAAAGCAAUUUGCAACGUGAGCAACAACACAGAGAGAAUUAUCAAAAAUCUAAAAAUCAUUUAAAGAAUGUGUUAAACCUGACCACUUAGGUAGAGGACACACAGAACCAAACACAAUACAUGCUUCUGUUCUACUCAGUUGCAAGGAGGAGCUAUCUUCUCUAUAUCUGCAUGAAGUCUGUGCAGAGAAGCAGGAGGCAAUCUUAAGGUGUGGAAAUGUGCUGAGAUGAGGCAAACCUAAAAAACCUAAAAGUUGACACUCAACAGAUAUUUCACGAGGCACACUACAAAAUCAGCAGCACUACAGCAGCGUUGUGUCCUAGAUGAAUUUGCUAUGAAUAUUGAGGGCUUAACUCUAAACAUCACUGGGCUCUAUAGCUUUGUGGCAGGGAGAAUUUUCUUAAUUGCAGGAUAAUGAUGUGGUCUGGGCACAUGCCUUUUGCCAAGUGGUUAUGAAUUACUUUGUGCAGAUACAUGAAACCCACAUCAAAUAGAAAGCACACAUGUGUCCUUCCACUCUGAAGGAGAGAAGGAAGAAAACUACUGUGGAAAGGAGGUCAAACAUAAAUCAUAGCAAGGUUAAAAGCCAUGGACUAAAAAACUGACCUUGAAAAUAUGGUUUAUCCUGCUGCCUUUCAAGACAAUUUGUCCUGUUGUUCAACACCCCUAUUUGAAACUACCAAAGGCUUGUCUUUCCUUAUUAAAAAAAAAACCAAAAAGGCAGCACCAUCUCACUAGAAUUGUCAGCAUUUAGAGAUGGAAUUCUGAUUUGGAAAAAAAUGUCCUUUAACACAGGCCUGAGAGAAUUGUCAGAGGGGAGAAAAAAUGAAUUGGAAUGGUAAAUUUGCUUUUCUUGUAAAUGACAUGAGGCUGUUCUUUCUUGUUUUAAAAUAUCAGAAUGGCUUCUUGAUGGAACUUUUGCAACUGAAAACCUGCAAUCCAUUUAACCAGAACUCUGUUUUCACCCUAGCUCAGAGCUGAUUUGUGUGUCUGGAUUUAGCUUUAGGCACGGUCCCUGCCAUCUUCUGCCAGAGACUUUUCUCCUGCAAACUUAAUCCAUGAUCCAGAUACAUGAUUAUUUCAAAUUUACAUUUCAAAAGGAGUAAAAGAUUGAUUUUCAUUCCAAGAAAGAAGAGGGAGGCACAAUGAUGUUGUCGAAUCUUUUGUUCCCAGAAGAAUCAGCAAAAAUUAACAGAAUUGAGGAACUAUAAUUUGGGUCAGACCAACCAUCUUAAUCCAUGUCUGCUAUUUUCUACUCUUUUUUUAAUGUGUUAGACAUAAGCAUGUUUGAUUUAUGACUAGAGUCAAAAACAUCUGUACUUUGGGGCACAAGCAAAUACUUACUUGAACAAUGGGCUCUCUGGGGAGGGAUAUAGAAAAGAAAUGACAUUUUUUUUGCAAAUAAUUCAGUGUUUUCCACUCCAUAAAGUAUUUUGCUUUGUUUUGAAAAGUGCUCUGCAGAAGACCCAAUGAUUCAGUAAUCCAUUAUAAAGGAGUCCAGCAACUUUCACCUUUAUGUGACUGGUGUGUCUGUGAGCCAGGGUAGCACUGGGGAAAUGCUGAUACCAUUUUCUGGUCUUGGAGUGACCCACGUGAAAAGAAUUGGUAAUCUCGGUCUCAUUGGCAGCAUGCAAGUAUUCACAUCUUAAAAACAUUUGGAACUAGUUGGCAGUCUGAGGCCUUGUCUGCACUGAGGAUUAGUUCUGAUUUCAGGAAUUAUUUUAGCUUCUGGUAAAAACCUCCUGUAGAUCAAGUUGUGCAAAUUGUGAUCUGUGCUGUCCUCUGCAUCAAUGAAUGGCUGAUGUGGGGACUAGUUCUAAUUGCAGAUGAGGUUGAAGGACAGGAGCCAUGUUCUGAAUAGCUACAUAUUCUGGAUCAACUCUCAUGAUGUGCUUCAGUAGUUUAUUUGAAGUUUUUUAGGGAAAAAAUGUCAAAAGUAUCAGAAGAUAAAUAUCUGUAACAUUUUCAGUUCAAGCCUGCAGUGGCUGGAGAUCCAGUUCCGUAACCAGAUGCUGUUCUGUGUGUGCAUUGACAUGAUUAGAAACAGGCUUGAAAGCAAUGCUUAAAAUCACUAGUAAACUUCUCAGAUCUCAGUCAGCCAGGUCUGGGAAUGAAUGGUGUGCCCACACCUUUUAAACCCAUGCUCUUGACUCCAGACAUCUCUGCACCUGAGGGACUGAGCCUUGGAGCUGACCUCUGUGUCUGAGCACCGUCCAUACACUGUGACAGAGAUGUGUCUCACUGUAGAGCCCAGUGUAAACUGUUAAUGUCAACAGAGAGCCCAGAGCAGAGAGACAGAAAUUAUGUCUGUUCCUGUAAGGUUCCCACAUAUAGAAAAAGCAGGAAAAAAAAAUUAAAGAGUAACAAUCCACAUUUCAGCUGCUUUUCUAAAUGAAUAUAUUCAACAAUGUGGCAGUCUAGUAGCUUUCUGUGCCUGUGGUAAAACUAUGCCAAACUAGAGUGAGAAAACCUAGGGUCUUUUAAAAUAAGGUGUGAAAAACUCUGUAGCAAGUGUAGAAUUUUAGAAAAGAGCCAAAGUCUAUGUCCACCCUCAGAAGAGCAGAAUGACAGAGCUCUGGCAACCGUAGCAGCCACCACCGAUUUAUUUACGAGUUCCUGGAGUUGGUCCAGUGUAAUUAUGGGCCUGAACUCCAGAUCAGAUUCACUUGACAUUUGAGAAAGUCUGUGGAAAAGCAGUAAUAAUAAACUGAUAAUAACCAUCCAUCUCAUAAGCAACAAAAAAUAAAGAGAAGAGAAAGGGCAGGUGGGGAGAGGGGGUGGCAACAUAAUCCCCAAAAGAUCUCCUGUUUGUCAGGAGAUACUUUCAGUACAAACUCUCAUGUAUUUUCUAGAACGAGCUGUGGAGAAUGUUGGAGUAAAUCUUGCCUUAUGUCAGUGUUAUUGCAAUUAUUACACUGGAAAAAAAUGAAAAUGGGGGGUGCACAGGAAGUUGGGAUAAGUUAGGACAGCAGUUUCUUCAGGUGGAGUACAUCUUUUGUGGCCCACAUGGCAUUUAUACAAGCAUGCUCAUCACCUAGAUCAUCUUACCAAGAAGCUGUUGAGUUUGGAAAAAGAUGUUUAAAGAAACUAUGCUGUACAUAUGAUUAGUUUUCAAUUUCAUGCACAGUCUAGAAAUACAUUUUUUAUGCUUUA